GACGAACGCUGGCGGCGUGCCUAAUACAUGCAAGUAGAACGCUGAAGGAGGAGCUUGCUUCUCUGGAUGAGUUGCGAACGGGUGAGUAACGCGUAGGUAACCUGCCUGGUAGCGGGGGAUAACUAUUGGAAACGAUAGCUAAUACCGCAUAAGAGUAGAUGUUGCAUGACAUUUUCUUAAAAGGUGCAAUUGCAUCACUACCAGAUGGACCUGCGUUGUAUUAGCUAGUUGGUGAGGUAACGGCUCCCCAAGGCAACGAUACAUAGCCGAACGGAGAGGGUGACUGGACACACUGGGAGUGAGACACGGCACAACGUCCUAGGGGAGGCAGAAGAAGGGAUGAUUAGGAAAGGAACGGGAGAGUGACCCAGCAACGCCGAGUAAGUGAAGAAGAUUUUCGGGUCGGAGAGCACGGUUGUAAGAGUAGAAAGAGUGUGAGGUUGGAAAGUUCACAAUGUGACGGUACCUUACCAGAAAGGGACGGCUAACUACGUG
rnacentral:rRNA from 1 species